rnacentral:rRNA from 1 species
CACAGAGUUAGCCGGUGCUUCUUUAGUUGGUUACGUCAAGGUCGCGACGUGUUAGGUCGCAACUUUUCUUCCCAACCGAAAGGGCUUUACAACCCGCAGGCCUUCUUCACCCACGCGGCGUCGCUGGAUCAGGGUUUCCCCCAUUGUCCAAUAUUCCCCACUGCUGCCUCCCGUAGGAGUCCGGACCGUGUCUCAGUUCCGGUGUGACUGGUCGUCCUCUCAGACCAGUUACGGAUCGUCGCCUUGGUAGGCCAUUACCCCCUACCAACUAGCUAAUCCGACUUGGGCUCAUCUGUUAGCGCCAGGCCUUGCGGUCCCCGGCUUUCCACCUUAGUGCGUAUGCGGUAUUAGCCAACCUUUCGGUUGGUUGUCCCCCAUAACAGGCAGAUUCCCAAGCGUUACUCACCCGUCCGCCGCUCGUCAGCAUGUAUUGCUACACCUGCUACCGCUCGACUUGCAUGUGUUAGGCACGCCGCCAGCCGUUCAAUCUGAGCCAGAUCAAACUCU